rnacentral:tRNA from 1 species
GCUCAUGUAGUUCAGAAGAACAUCUUAUUUUCGUUAAGAAAGGCCAUUUAAGUGGCUUGAGCC